rnacentral:rRNA from 1 species
GCGCGUGAGGGAGGAGGCUCUUGGGUUGUAAACCUCAAAACUUAGGGAAGAAAAAAAUGACGGUACCUAAUGUAAGCAUCGGCUAACUCCGUGCCAGCAGCCGCGGUAAUACGGAGGAUGCAAGCGUUAUCCGGAAUCAUUGGGCGUAAAGAGUCCGUAGGUGGCACUUCAAGUCUGCUUUCAAAGACCGAAGCUCAACUUCGGAAAGGGAGUGGAAACUGAAGAGCUAGAGUAUAGUAGGGGUAGAGGGAAUUCCUAGUGUAGCGGUGAAAUGCGUAGAGAUUAGGAAGAACACCAGUGGCGAAGGCGCUCUACUGGGCAUAUACUGACACUGAGGGACGAAAGCUAGGGGAGCGAAUGGGAUUAGAUA